AGUGAUCAACUCCAAGGGUUUUUGUGAUGGGUACAACUAGGUUUUAUUCCCUAGAAGAUAGCCUACCUAAUUAAAUUCUAACGGGAGAGUGGAUGGUCUAAGAAUCAAUUCCUCUUGCACCAACCUUUGGGAAAGUUUGUUAUUUAAUGUGAUUAAUUGAGGUAGAAGCUAGCAUUGGAUGAAGGAAUGGGUCUUUAAGAGUUAAUAUUUUAGCUCUAAGUGGUGGAAAUAUAGCUGUACAAGAAAACCUAGAUUUAUGUGUAUACUUUAGGUUGGCAAAUAUGAUCACCGUAUCUUUUGGGAUAUAUUACUUGGUUAUGAGGUGGUGGAUGGAAGGUGGUGCUAUUCUACACUGUUUAUAAAAAGUGAAGGAGAGUCUAAGGAAUGAUCCAAGAUACAGAUCUGUUAAGCAUGAAGAUAGAGAAGUUAUAUUCAAUGAGUAUGUAUCUGAACUGAAGGCUGCAGAAGAGGAAGUAGAGAGAGAAGCAAAAGCCAAAAGGGAAGAGCAGG